UACAGAGGGUGCGAGCGUUGUCCGGAUCACUGGGCGUAAGGCGCGUAGGUGCGCGACAGUCAGUGGUGAAAAGUCGACGCUCACGUCGAAAUCGGCCACUGAUACUGUUUGGGCUUUGAGCACUGUAGAGGGCUAAAUGAAAUUUCCGGGUGUAGCGGGUGGGAAAUGCGUAGAGAUCCGGGAAAGAAACACCCGGGUGGGCGAAAGGGCGGGUUUAGCUGGGCAGUUUGCUGGGACACUUUGAGGGGCGCGACAGCGUGGGAGCAAAACAGGGGAU
rnacentral:rRNA from 1 species